UCCCUGGUGGUCCAAUGGUUAGGACUCUGCACUGUCACUGCUGAGGGCCCAGGUUCAAUCCCUGUUCCAGGAA
rnacentral:tRNA from 1 species